UACGGGGGGGGCAAGCGUUGUUCGGAAUUACUGGGCGUAAAGGGCUCGUAGGCGGCCAACUAAGUCGGAUGUGAAAUCCCCAGGCUUAACCUGGGAAUUGCAUCCGAUACUGGAUGGCUUGAAUCCGGGAGAGGGAUGCGGAAUUCCAGGUGUAGCGGUGAAAUGCGUAGAGAUGUGGAGGAACACCAGUGGCGAAGGCGACUCUUUGGCCCGUAACUGACACUGAGGCGCGAAAGCGUGGGGAGCAAACAGG
rnacentral:rRNA from 1 species